AAAUUGAAGAGUUUGAUCAUGGCUCAGAUUGAACGCUGGCGGCAGGCCUAACACAUGCAAGUCGAACGGUAACAGGAAACAGCUUGCUGUUUCGCUGACGAGUGGCGGACGGGUGAGUAAUGUCUGGGAAACUGCCUGAUGGAGGGGGAUAACUACUGGAAACGGUAGCUAAUACCGCAUAACGUCGCAAGACCAAAGAGGGGGACCUUCGGGCCUCUUGCCAUCGGAUGUGCCCAGAUGGGAUUAGCUAGUAGGUGGGGUAACGGCUCACCUAGGCGACGAUCCCUAGCUGGUCUGAGAGGAUGACCAGCCACACUGGAACUGAGACACGGUCCAGACUCCUACGGGAGGCAGCAGUGGGGAAUAUUGCACAAUGGGCGCAAGCCUGAUGCAGCCAUGCCGCGUGUAUGAAGAAGGCCUUCGGGUUGUAAAGUACUUUCAGCGGGGAGGAAGGGAGUAAAGUUAAUACCUUUGCUCAUUGACGUUACCCGCAGAAGAAGCACCGGCUAACUCCGUGCCAGCAGCCGCGGUAAUACGGAGGGUGCAAGCGUUAAUCGGAAUUACUGGGCGUAAAGCGCACGCAGGCGGUUUGUUAAGUCAGAUGUGAAAUCCCCGGGCUCAACCUGGGAACUGCAUCUGAUACUGGCAAGCUUGAGUCUCGUAGAGGGGGGUAGAAUUCCAGGUGUAGCGGUGAAAUGCGUAGAGAUCUGGAGGAAUACCGGUGGCGAAGGCGGCCCCCUGGACGAAGACUGACGCUCAGGUGCGAAAGCGUGGGGAGCAAACAGGAUUAGAUACCCUGGUAGUCCACGCCGUAAACGAUGUCGACUUGGAGGUUGUGCCCUUGAGGCGUGGCUUCCGGAGCUAACGCGUUAAGUCGACCGCCUGGGGAGUACGGCCGCAAGGUUAAAACUCAAAUGAAUUGACGGGGGCCCGCACAAGCGGUGGAGCAUGUGGUUUAAUUCGAUGCAACGCGAAGAACCUUACCUGGUCUUGACAUCCACGGAAGUUUUCAGAGAUGAGAAUGUGCCUUCGGGAACCGUGAGACAGGUGCUGCAUGGCUGUCGUCAGCUCGUGUUGUGAAAUGUUGGGUUAAGUCCCGCAACGAGCGCAACCCUUAUCCUUUGUUGCCAGCGGUCCGGCCGGGAACUCAAAGGAGACUGCCAGUGAUAAACUGGAGGAAGGUGGGGAUGACGUCAAGUCAUCAUGGCCCUUACGACCAGGGCUACACACGUGCUACAAUGGCGCAUACAAAGAGAAGCGACCUCGCGAGAGCAAGCGGACCUCAUAAAGUGCGUCGUAGUCCGGAUUGGAGUCUGCAACUCGACUCCAUGAAGUCGGAAUCGCUAGUAAUCGUGGAUCAGAAUGCCACGGUGAAUACGUUCCCGGGCCUUGUACACACCGCCCGUCACACCAUGGGAGUGGGUUGCAAAAGAAGUAGGUAGCUUAACCUUCGGGAGGGCGCUUACCACUUUGUGAUUCAUGACUGGGGUGAAGUCGUAACAAGGUAACCGUAGGGGAACCUGCGGUUGGAUCACCUCCUUACCUUAAAGAAG
rnacentral:rRNA from 1 species